AGACCCGAAACCCGGUGAUCUAGCCAUGGGCAGGUUGAAGGUUGGGUAACACUAACUGGAGGACCGAACCGACUAAUGUUGAAAAAUUAGCGGAUGACCUGUGGCUGGGGGUGAAAGGCCAAUCAAACCGGGAGAUAGCUGGUUCUCCCCGAAAGCUAUUUAGGUAGCGCCUCGUGAAUUCAUCUCCGGGGGUAGAGCACUGUUUCGGCUAGGGGGCCAUCCCGGCUUACCAACCCGAUGCAAACUGCGAAUACCGGAGAAUGUUAUCACGGGAGACACACGGCGGGUGCUAACGUCCGUCGUGAAGAGGGAAACAACCCAGACCGCCAGCUAAGGUCCCAAAGUCAUGGUUAAGUGGGAAACGAUGUGGGAAGGCCCAGACAGCCAGGAUGUUGGCUUAGAAGCAGCCAUCAUUUAAAGAAAGCGUAAUAGCUCACUGGUCGAGUCGGCCUGCGCGGAAGAUGUAACGGGGCUAAACCAUGCACCGAAGCUGCGGCAGCGACGCUGAUGCGUUGUUGGGUAGGGGAGCGUUCUGUAAGCCUGCGAAGGUGGCCUGUGAGGGUUGCUGGAGGUAUCAGAAGUGCGAAUGCUGACAUAAGUAACGAUAAAGCGGGUGAAAAGCCCGCUCGCCGGAAGACCAAGGGUUCCUGUCCAACGUUAAUCGGGGCAGGGUGAGUCGACCCCUAAGGCGAGGCCGAAAGGCGUAGUCGAUGGGAAACGGGUUAAUAUUCCCGUACUUGGUGUUACUGCGAAGGGGGGACGGAGAAGGCUAUGUUGGCCGGGCGACGGUUGUCCCGGUUUAAGCGUGUAGGUGUGUGUUCCAGGUAAAUCCGGUUCACUUUAACACUGAGGCGUGAUGACGAGGCACUACGGUGCUGAAGCAACAAAUGCCCUGCUUCCAGGAAAAGCCUCUAAGCAUCAGGUAACACGAAAUCGUACCCCAAACCGACACAGGUGGUCAGGUAGAGAAUACCAAGGCGCUUGAGAGAACUCGGGUGAAGGAACUAGGCAAAAUGGUGCCGUAACUUCGGGAGAAGGCACGCUGACACGUAGGUGAAGUGAUUUACUCAUGGAGCUGAAGUCAGUCGAAGAUACCAGCUGGCUGCAACUGUUUAUUAAAAACACAGCACUGUGCAAACACGAAAGUGGACGUAUACGGUGUGACGCCUGCCCGGUGCCGGAAGGUUAAUUGAUGGGGUCAGCGCAAGCGAAGCUCCUGAUCGAAGCCCCGGUAAACGGCGGCCGUAACUAUAACGGUCCUAAGGUAGCGAAAUUCCUUGUCGGGUAAGUUCCGACCUGCACGAAUGGCGUAAUGAUGGCCAGGCUGUCUCCACCCGAGACUCAGUGAAAUUGAACUCGCUGUGAAGAUGCAGUGUACCCGCGGCAAGACGGAAAGACCCCGUGAACCUUUACUAUAGCUUGACACUGAACAUUGAGCCUUGAUGUGUAG
rnacentral:rRNA from 1 species